ACUAAAUAGAUACCCGGGUAGUCCACGCCCUAAACGAUGUCUACUAGUUGUUGGUGGAGUAAAAUCCAUGAGUAAACGCAGCUAGCGCGUGAAGUAGGCCGCCUGGGGAGUACGGUCGCAAGAUUAAGACUCAAAGGAAUUGACGGGGGCCCGCACAAGCGGUGGAUUAUGUGGAUUAAUUCGAUGCAACGCGAAAAACCUUACCUGGCCUUGACAUGCCACUAACGAAGCAGAGAUGCAUUAGGUGCCCGUAAGGGAAAGUGGACACAGGUGCUGCAUGGCUGUCGUCAGCUCGUGUCGUGAGAUGUUGGGUUAAGUCCCGCAACGAGCGCAACCCUUGCCAUUAAUUGCCAUCAUUUAGUUGGGCACUUUAAUGGGACUGCCGGUGACAAACCGGAGGAAGGUGGGGAUGACGUCAAGUCCUCAUGGCCCUUAUGGCCAGGGCUUCACACGUAAUACAAUGGUCGGUACAGAGAGUUGCCAACCCGCGAGGGGAGCUAAUCUCAGAAAGCCGAUCGUAGUCCGGAUUGUUCUCU
rnacentral:rRNA from 1 species